rnacentral:rRNA from 1 species
AGGAGUGGAGCCUGCGGCUUAAUUUGACUCAACACGGGAAACCUCACCAGGCCCGGACACCGGAAGGAUUGACAGAUUGAGAGCUCUUUCUUGAUUCGGUGGGUGGUGGUGCAUGGCCGUUCUUAGUUGGUGGAGCGAUUUGUCUGGUUAAUUCCGAUAACGAACGAGACUCUAGCCUGCUAACUAGGCGUAUUUCGACAUCCCAAAGGCCCGCCGGUUCGGGGUUUCGGCUCCUUUCCGCGCGCGGUUUUUACUGUCGGCGUACAAACAAUUCUUCUUAGAGGGACAGGCGGCUUCUAGCCGCACGAGAUUGAGCAAUAACAGGUCUGUGAUGCCCUUAGAUGUUCUGGGCCG